AAUAUAAAUUUAUGUAUUAAAAUUAGAGAAUAAAUUAGAAUAAAUUUGAAUAGAUUUAAUCGAGUUUACUAGUUUAUAUUCCUUAAGAAGUUUAGUCGAUAAUCGAUAGAUACAAACACACACACAAACACACAUAUAUAUAUAUAUAUUCGAGAGAAGGAAGCGACCGGCUUUCAACUCGCGUUAUGUAAUACGGCGAUCGAAACCGCGCGAGAGUUCUUCUCCCUAAGAAUAAAUUGCGAUUAUUGAGUUUCGCGGUGCGGAGAGAACGUUAACAUUAUUAACGGGAUUUAUAAAAGGGGAGGAAUGUCAGUUGACAAGGUUUUCUUUUGGCAGCAAUGACGACGAUACAGUCAACGGAGUUUGUUCAGUUUCUAUCGGCUAAGUUCUACUUACUUACGUUUAUUAUUCCUCUAUUCUUAUUCCCAUUAAACAAACUUCUUCUUGUUUCUCUUAUUUGCGAAAUUCUAUCACUUCCUCCUUCCCCUACUCUUCCACCUCAACCUCCACCACCAUCUUAUCUUCCUUCACCCUUUUCUUUUCCUACUCCUAAACUUGCGUUUCAUAUUUUGACGUAUAAAAUAUUUGACAUUAUACUAGACGUAUUACAAUUUGCUAAUCGAAGUGACGUGUAAAUAUAUCUUUAACAUGUUGUCCGUUAAUUGCACACACGACGACACUUUUUAUAGACUGGGUGUGACGUUAGAGAGUCUCGAGAUGUUACUCUCCGGUGCUUGGUUCGAGGUUAUAGCCGCAACACUUCUCACUAUUUUACUCCUGGCUACUAGUUAUCGGCCACCUUGGUGGUUCUGGACCGGAACUACUCAUAAAUCUAAUGGCAUAUCGGAGGAGAAGGAUAGGAAACCAUUUAAAACAGCACGGGACGUGCCCGGUCCGUUCUCCUUACCUAUUCUUGGCACAAGAUGGAUAUACUCCUGGAUGGGAUACUAUAGAAUGAACAAGAUUCACGAGGCUUACAAAGAUCUGAAUCGACGCUACGGAGGCUUGUGCAAGGAGGAGGCAUUAUGGAACUGGCCAGUGAUAUCGGUAUUUUCUCGCCAUGACAUUGAGCUGGUACUCAGGAAAGGAUCUAGAUAUCCUCUUCGUCCUCCGCAAGAAGUCAUAUCGCACUAUCGACAUUCGCGACGUGAUCGAUAUACUAAUCUUGGUCUCGUAAACGAACAAGGCGAGACUUGGCUAAAGCUUCGUUCUGCUCUAACUCCGGAACUCACUGGUGCUAGCACGGUUCUCGGCUUCUUUCCUGCUCUAAAUAUCGUCUGCGACGGUUUCAUCGAGCUCAUACGAAAACGUAGAACCAUGUUUGGCGUUGUGGGAUUCGAAGAACUCGCAUAUAAAAUGGGACUCGAGAGUACUUGUACGUUGAUUCUGGGUCGGCAUCUUGGCUUCUUAAAGCCGGAUUCGAGCGACACGCUUACUGCAAGAUUAGCGGAAGCAGUUAGAAUUCAUUUCACGGCCUCGCGAGAUGCCUUUUAUGGGUUGCCGCUUUGGAAGGUGCUACCCACAUCCGCAUAUAAACAGCUGAUUGAGAGCGAGGAUGCUAUUUACAAUAUAAUUUCGGAAUUAAUGGAAGCAACGAUAAUCGAAAAAAAAAACGACGCCCGAGACGAAUCCGUGGAGGCAGUUUAUCAAUCGAUUUUACGACAGAAAUCGUUAGACAUAAGGGAUAAAAAGGCAGCCAUAGUGGACUUUAUUGCGGCUGGUAUACACACAUUGGGUAAUACCUUAGUCUUUCUCUUCCACAUGAUAGGAAGUAAUCCAAAAGUACAACAGACCUUAUACGAGGAAGCCAUGUCGUUGGCACCACCAGGUUGCGAUCUGACCGUUGAUGAUCUUCGAAAAGCACGUUAUUUGCGUGCCUGCAUUACCGAAGCGUUCAGGCUCGUUCCUACUGCACCAUGCAUCGCAAGAAUUUUAGACGAACCGAUCGAAUUAGACGGGUAUCAUCUCGAUACUGGGUUUGAUUACAGAGAUUUCAAAUACGGUUAAAAACUUAACUAAUCGGAACUGUACUUAAAGUCUUCACUUUUCUUCUAUCUUCUUCAUCCCAGACGGUAGUUCUCUUGCAUACAUGGGUAGCUGGAUUAGACGAGAAUAACUUUAAGAAUGCGUCCAAAUGCGAGCCUGAAAGAUGGCUGAAUCCUACGGUACCACAUUCGCCAUUACUGGUAGCUCCUUUCGGUUCUGGUCGAAGAAUCUGCCCAGGCAAACGCUUUGUGGAACUUGCUCUACAACUUAUCCUAGCUAAGAUCGUUCGAGAAUUCGAAAUCAUAGUAAACGAUAAACUCGAUCUACAAUUCGAGUUUAUUCUCGCACCGAAAAGUCCGGUCUCGCUCGGUUUUCGAGAUCGCGUGGAGGUGGUAUGAAAAAAAAAAAAAAAAAACAAAAGAAAAAGGAAAAAAAGGAAAAAAAAAA